GAAUCACCGUGAUUUAGGCAUAAUAUGCCGAUUUGAGCUGCUUAUGUGUAAGGUUGGACCAUGGGUCUUGGGGAAACAAGUACUAAUUGGCAUUUACGUUUCCAAUAUUAGCUAGUGUAAAUGUGAACUCAUGUCAGAGCAAAGCAGUGCAAUCUAGAAUUAGCUUUCCAUGUGUGACCUAAAUCCACUAUUGCUGAAGCUGUGCUUCCAAGUUGGAUCUGACUCUUUUAUAGCUGGUAAAAGCGAUAAACUAUUUCCAUGUUGAGACAUCAACAACAGUAUUAACGCAUAAUUGUAGCGAGUGAAGGGGGCAGUGCCUGGAGAUAAGAGGGUUGUUUGUGUGGAUUUGCGCUUCUGGCCUUUCAUCAGUAGAACAAAGGGCUGCAUCAAGAUAUGCCAACUAAGGAAAUAAAGAAACAUAUUGAAUAUGCUCCUCUUAAUUGCUAUGGAGUUAUGGACAUAUAUGGUAGUAGAGAUUGAAUUUAGGAAUCAAGGAAAAUAUUUUAUAUCUUCUGUAACAUGCAUACUUAUGGGCAUCACCAUCUGGUCAGAGUUGUAUUCCCUUUGUUAGUAAUUAAAGCUAGCAGUGAUCAAAACCUGCGCAACCGAAGGCUUUGGUGAAGAGUUUUCAUCCACAAGAAGUGCAAAGGUCUGAAGACCAUGCAAUGGUCAUUCCAGAUUAGCGAAAAGAAGUGAAGGAUAUGAAUGACGGCUGAUGUCUAUUUCUAGAUGACAGUCAUGCUGUGUUUAUCUGGAGGGAUUUGGGGGAUGUAAUAACUAAAGAAGAUCUCUGUACUGCAGUGGUUCUAGCGUUUAUGUUGGUUGUUCCAUAGAUCAUGGAUAUUUGGAUUCACUCAGAACUUUGUAAUUUUGUUACCUUUGGUAAUGAAGUUUGGAAUGCCCCGUUAUGUGGGAAAAACUA